rnacentral:rRNA from 1 species
UACGUAGGUGGCGAGCGUUAUCCGGAAUGAUUGGGCGUAAAGGGUGCGUAGGCGGCCUGUUAAGUCUGAAGUGAAAGGUACCGGCUCAACCGGUACAGGCUUUGGAAACUGGCAGGCUGGAGGACAGGAGAGGGCGGUGGAACUCCAUGUGUAGCGGUAAAAUGCGUAGAUAUAUGGAAGAACACCAGUGGCGAAGGCGGCCGCCUGGCCUGUUACUGACGCUGAGGCACGAAAGCGUGGGGAGCAAAUAGG